GACGAACGCUGGCGGCGUGCUUAACACAUGCAAGUCGAGCGGAGCGGCGAACGGGUGAGUAACGCGUGAGUAACUGCCCCCCUCUCUGGGAUAAAAGUUGGAAAAGGCGUCUAAUACCGGCUAGUGGGGGAUGACUCGCGGCCUAUCUGCUUGUUGGUGGGGUAGGGGCCUACCAGGGCGACGACGGGUAGCCGGCCUGAGAGGGCGACCGGCAACAUUGGGCUGAGAUACGGACCAAACGCGUACGGGGGGCAACAGGGGGGAAUAUUGCACAAUGGUGGAAACCCUGAUGCAGCAACGCCGCGUGCGGAAUGACGGUCUUCGGGUUGUAAACCGCUUUCAGCCAUGACGCGGUAGUGGCAGAAGAAGCACCGGCUAACUACGUGCCAGCAGCCGCGGUAAUAC
rnacentral:rRNA from 1 species